GAAAUGCGAUAAUUAAUGUGAAUUGCAGAAUUCAGUGAAUCAUCGAGUCUUUGAACGCACAUUGCGCCCCCUGGUAUUCCGGGGGGCAUGCCUGUCCGAGCGUCAUUGCUGCCCUCAAGCACGGCUUGUAUGUUGGGCUUCCGUCCCUGGCAACGGGGACGGGCCCAAAAGGCAGUGGCGGCACCAUGUCUGGUCCUCGAGCGUAUGGGGCUUUGUCACCCGCUCCCGUAGGUCCAGCUGGCAGCUAGCCUCGCAACCAAUCUUUUUAACCAGGUUGACCUCGGAUCAGGUAGGGAUACCCGCUGAACUUAAGC
rnacentral:misc_RNA from 1 species